UAUGCUGUUAAGUCCCCACAAACUAAUACUGAGCUCUUUUGGGCUGUUAAAGUCAAGUUUUGAUUUUAGCAAGUCUUUUUCUGUUUGAUUGAAUUAAAACGAACCCUGUAAACAUUGACAUAAAUUUGUCCAGAGCGUGAUUUGCGCACAACAACCUCUAGGCCUACAACGUUUUGAAUAGUUUCAAAUAUUUCAUUCAUAAAUCCCCAGACCCCCUCCCUCUGCUACUACACCAAUGAUGUCAUUUUAUUGCGACCACUCUCUGGAUUGUGGAUUUUACGGACUGCAUUCCCAUGUACUGGGUUUAGCUGGACCGUAUUGGACUGGAGGUGACAGGAUAUUUUGUACCUGCUUCGGACUGGUUCUGUCAUUAACCUACUGAGCUGGUGCUUCUGUCCCAGGUAAAAUGUGUUUGAACUUACAUUUGCAUCUAUACAUGAAGUAGGCAGCCUAGAGCAGGAGGCGGGCGUCAGAUCAGAGGGUUGCAGGCAUCUCCAUCGCAUCGCUCCUAGGCAUCUGAAAGUGUACCGUUGCGCACAGAUCAUGCUGGUAACGAGUUAUUCAAAGGGUCUACCAAUCAUGGCAAAAACAGAAAUCCAGCUCCUCAGCCCAGGCAGUGCCAACAACCCAGCUGAUCCAGGAGCUGCAGCGAGGGGUAGUGAUGACACUCCGGGCACCCCGACUGCCCUCUUCAACCAUUCCCAUGGAAUUCAUCCUGUCCAGCCUCCGUCAGAUAAUCCAGCCCUCCCCCUCCUACUUCCAGAGACUAAUUUGCAGAUUCUAAUGGGUAUGUGCUAAGGAGAUGAUGAGUGAACACGCUGCCAGUUUGGUUGCAGUGUGUCACCGAAUUCCGUAGAUUCAUCAUCACUAUGUGGGGUGGAAGCUGCACAGACUACAACAAGGCUUCUGGGACCCCACUCCCCUCAAGCAAGACAUUUAACACCUGCUUCACCUAUGAAGGACUGAUUAUUGGCAGUGAUACCACAACGCAUACAAGCUGUUCAGCCUGCUGCCCUCCGGGUAGAGGUACAGGAGUAUCUGCUUCCGCAACUCCAGACUCGCCAACAUCUUCAUCUACCAGACUGUCAUGCCGAAUCGUCCCUCCUCUCUCCCAUCCCAGGAUGCCGAAUUAUGACCAAGUGACUGAAGAACUGCCAUACGUCUUCACUUGGUCAUUGCAUGACCAGAGGCUGUAUGCAGACUCACAGUAUAAUUCUACACGAUCCACUAUAAGUCAUAUUUUAUUUCAGGUGGUUUGAAUAGCUGUGAUACAUUAAUGAUGCCUGCCAACGAUUCUGAAUUGUGUACAGUCUGUAAUAUUUCUUCUUCAAGGGACCAGUCAAGUCGAUGUGACAGGUGAUUUUUAUACAAAACUUUGUCAAAGUUUACGUAAUUGACACAUCUGGUUGGUCCUUGUUUUGAAUUCUGAAUUGUCAAUAUACUAUAUGCCUUUAUCAGGUUUGAGCUUGGAGUUGAGUAUAUGUUAAAUUAAUAGAAUGUGUUUUUUGCUAGUCUUCACAUUAAACUUAGA